rnacentral:rRNA from 1 species
AUUGAACGCUGGCGGCAGGCAUAACACAUGCACGUCGAGCGGAGCGGCGGACGGGUGAGUACUGCCUAGGAAUCUGCCUGGUAGUGGUGGAUAACGUCCGGAAACGGGCGCUCAUACCGCAUACUGUCAGAUGAGCCUCGGUCGGAUUAGCUCGUUGGUGGGGUAAAGGCCUACCAAGGCGACGAUCCGUAACUGGUAUGAGAGGAUGAUAAGUCACACUUGAAAUGAGACACGGUCCAGACUCCUACGGGAGGCAGCAGUGGGGAAUAUUGGAAAAUGUGCGAAAGCCUGACCCAGCCAUGCCGCGUGUGUGAAGAAGGUCUUCGUGUUGUAAAGCACUUUAAGUUGGGAGGCGUUACCAACAGAAUAAGCACCGGCUAACUUCGUGCCAGCAGCCGCGGUAAUAC